rnacentral:rRNA from 1 species
UAGGGAAUAUUGGGCAAUGGCCGAGAGGCUGACCCAGCCAUGCCGCGUGCAGGAUGAAGGCUUUCUGAGUCGUAAACUGCUUUUACCAGGGAAGAAAAAAGGGGAUGCGUCCCCUACUGACGGUACCUGGUGAAUAAGCACCGGCUAACUCCGUGCCAGCAGCCGCGGUAAUACGGAGGGUGCAAGCGUUGUCCGGAUUUAUUGGGUUUAAAGGGUGCGUAGGCGGCUUUUUAAGUCCGGGGUGAAAGCCCGUUGCUCAACAACGGAACUGCCCCGGAAACUGGAGAGCUUGAGUACAGACGAGGGUGGCGGAAUGGACGGUGUAGCGGUGAAAUGCAUAGAUACCGUCCAGAACCCCGAUUGCGAAGGCAGCUGCCUAGACUGUAACUGACGCUGAGGCACGAAAGCGUGGGGAGCGAACA